GGUGGCACAGUGGUUAAGCGCUCAGCUGCUAACUGAAAGCCUGGUGGUUCAAAUCCACCAGCCA
rfam:Loxodonta africana unplaced genomic scaffold scaffold_95, whole genome shotgun sequence.